CCUGCCAGUAUCAUAUGCUAGUCUCAAAGAUUAAGCCAUGCAAGUCUAAGCGUAAAUAGUUUACCUUGAAGCUGCGAAUGGCUCAUUAAACCAGUUAUAAUUUCUUGGAAGAUGAGAUGCUAGACGGAUACCUUUGGCAACUCCAGAGCUAAUACGUGCGUGUGUGGGUGACCGGUUACUCGGGAGCCCAGUAUUUAUUAGAUCUUCAAAAGCCGUUUUUACGGUGACUCAUAAUAACUGAUCGGACCGCAUGGCUUCGGCCGGCGGCAGUUCCUCCAGAUUUCUGUCCUAUCAGCUUUGGAUGCUUGUGUCGUGAACAAGCAUGGCGAUAACGGGUGACGAGGAAUUAAGGUUCGAUUUCGGAGAGUUCGCCUCGAGAAAUAGCGAAUACAUCCAAGGAAGGCAGCAGGCGCGCAAAUUACCCAAUCUCGAUACGAGGAGGUAGUGACGUGAUAUAACGAUAGCUUGGUUUUAAGCUGAGCUAAUCGGAAUGGUAGUCGAGUAAAUAUUGAUUAGAGUACCGAUUGGAGGGCAAGUCUGGUGCCAGCAGCCGCGGUAAUUCCAGCUCCAAUAGCGUAUGUUAAAAUUGCUGCAGUUAAAAAGCUCGUAGUUGGGUGUCUGUCUCGCGUGCUGUAUGUGGUUGGCGCGGGGUUCGCCUCGCGCCAUACUGCGCAGUGCCGGACGUUCGGGAGACCUUGCGGUUUCCCCGGUUACUUUGAACAAACGAGAGUGCUCCGAGCAGGCCUUGCGCCAUGAAUCGAUUAGCAUGGGAUAACACGAUAGGGCUUUCUGUCGCGUGUGGCUGUCACGAGAUGGAAGCAAUGACGAGUGGGAACGACUGGGGGUGUCGGUAUUUCGCGGCUAGAGGUGAGAUUCUUGGAUUCGCGAACGACCCACGAAAGCGAAAGCACUCACCAAGGGCGUUUCCGUCAAUCAAGAACGAAAGUCGAGGGAUCGAAGACGAUCAGAUACCGUCGUAGUCUCGACUAUAAACGAUUCGACGUGGGGGUUGGGCGUUCUACCAGGGAUUGUUGAAAUCCCGCGCCCAGAACCCGACCGAGAAAUCUCUGACGCUUCCCGAUCUGGGGGGAGUAUGGACGCAAGUCUGAAACAUAAAGGAAUUGACGGAGGGUCACACCAGAUGUGGAUUUUGCGGCUUAAUUUGACAACGCGGGGAACCUUGCUAGGUCCGGAGAUCGGGAGGAUGGCCAGGCCGAAGACCUUGUCUGAUUCGAUUCCACGUGGUGCAUGGUCGCUCUUAGUUGGUGUUGUGGGAUGUCUGCUUGAUUGCGAUAACGAACGAGACGUGCGUUGGGUGUUAUUGCGGUCCGCGUUAGCGGAACGCGAUGUCUCCCGAGACUAUCGGAGAGAUCCGGUGGAAGCGGCACGCAAUAGCAGGUCAGAGAUGCCCGUAGAUGCCCUAGGACGCACGCGAAAUACAAUGGUUGUUGCAGUGAGUUAUUCAGGUGGAUUGAAAAGUCUGCCGAACCUGUGAACAACAACCGUAGCCGGGAUCGACGAUUGCAACUAUUCGUCUUCAACUUGGAAUAUCUAGUAAACGCGCUUCAUCAGAGCGCAUUGACUGCGUCCCUGGCCCUUGUACACACCGCCCGUCGCUAUCAAGGAGCGGGCGACCUGUAGAGGUGUGUGGAUUUUGUGCUAUUUGGGUCAAACCGAGUAGCGUGAGAGAUGCACAACAAUACUAUUCGCCUCGACUUGAUAAAAGUCGUAACAAGGUAUCCG
rnacentral:rRNA from 1 species